GAGGGGCAGCGGGGAGGAAGCUUGCUUUCUCCGCCGGCGACCGGCGCACGGGUGAGUAACACGUAUGCAACCUGCCCCUGUCAGGGGGACAACCCGCCGAAAGGCGGGCUAAACCCGCGUACAUGCCACCGGGGCAUCCCGGAGGCAGGAAAGGCUUCGGCCGGACAGGGAUGGGCAUGCGGCGCAUUAGGCAGUAGGCGGGGUAACGGCCCACCUAACCGACGAUGCGUAGGGGUUCUGAGAGGAAGGUCCCCCACACUGGUACUGAGACACGGACCAGACUCCUACGGGAGGCAGCAGUGAGGAAUAUUGGUCAAUGGUCGGGAGACUGAACCAGCCAAGCCGCGUGAGGGAGGAAGGUACAGAGUAUCGUAAACCUCUUUUGUCAGGGAACAAAGGCGGGGACGUGUCCCCGGAUGAGUGUACCUGAAGAAAAAGCAUCGGCUAACUCCGUGCCAGCAGCCGCGGUAAUACGGAGGAUGCGAGCGUUAUCCGGAUUUAUUGGGUUUAAAGGGUGCGCAGGCGGUCAGUUAAGUCAGCGGUCAAAGCCCGGGGCUCAACCCCGGCCCGCCGUUGAAACUGGCAGUCUCGAGUUGGA
rnacentral:rRNA from 1 species